ensembl:snoRNA SNORD82 Small nucleolar RNA SNORD82
ACCACAUAUGAUGAUUUAAAGGGACUUAAUACUGAAACGUGUGAUGUGAGCUUUCAUAUUAAUUCUGAUGCUGG